rnacentral:misc_RNA from 1 species
GGGUCCAGUUUUUAAUAGAUUCACAUCACUACACCCAAGAGAAUCAAUUCCUUUCCCUUCCUUUCCUUCGCGAUGGAAAUGGAUUCCAUCCCUAACGGCAACUCCGCCGCCUCCACUCCUGCCGUCACCACCCCAACUAACUCCACCCACACAACGCCGUCCUCCAAACUGACGCAACUGACGGAAUCGUUAAAGCUGGAGCACCAGUUCUUACGGGUUCCCUUCGAGCACUACAAGAAAACGAUCCGAGCUAACCAUCGAACCGUCGAGAAGGAAGUCUCCUCCGUCAUCUCCGGCGUCAAUGACGCCGCCGAUUCCGAUAUGUCUAAAGAUGACGCCUUUCAGCAUCUUACAUCUCUCGUGUCUAGAUUGCAGGGACUCAAAAGGAAGCUGGAAGAGGGAAGUCGAACAGAGAAUUUGCAAGCACAAAGGUGCCGUGCUCGUCUUGACCAUUUAGAAUCAGUAGACGCAGAGAAUCUUUCAGAAUGGAGCAACACACGCUUGAAGCGGAUUCUUGUGGACUACAUGCUACGAAUGUCAUACUAUGACACUGGAAUGAA